GGAGGACAGUACUACUGUGAGGCCAGGAAUACAAUGGGAACCAAUAAUUCGACUUCACCAUCCAUCACUGCUGAAGGAGAAUACACCGCCAUCUUGUUUUUUUGUGUUUGGAGCGGCUGCCAUGUGUGGAACUGUUGGCUUCAUCUGUGUCAUCUACCAGAUAAGCCACUUUUGUAAGAAAUCUAUGAAGU